rnacentral:rRNA from 1 species
AGUGAACGCUGGCGGUAGGCCUAACACAUGCAAGUCGAACGGCAGCACAGUAAGAGCUUGCUCUUACGGGUGGCGAGUGGCGGACGGGUGAGGAAUACAUCGGAAUCUACUUUUUCGUGGGGGAUAACGUAGGGAAACUUACGCUAAUACCGCAUACGACCUACGGGUGAAAGCAGGGGAUCUUCGGACCUUGCGCGAUUGAAUGAGCCGAUGUCGGAUUAGCUAGUUGGCGGGGUAAAGGCCCACCAAGGCGACGAUCCGUAGCUGGUCUGAGAGGAUGAUCAGCCACACUGGAACUGAGAAACGGUCCAGACUCAUACGGGAGGCAGCAGUGGGGAAUAUUGGACAAUGGGCGCAAGCCUGAUCCAGCCAUACCGCGUGGGUGAAGAAGGCCUUCGGGUUGUAAAGCCCUUUUGUUGGGAAAGAAAAGCAGCAGGUUAAUACCCCGCUGUUCUGACGGUACCCAAAGAAUAAGCACCGGCUAACUUCGUG